GUGUCAGCAGCCGCGGUAAUACGUAGGGUGCAAGCGUUGUUCGGAAUUACUGGGCGUAAAGCGUGUGUAGGUGGCUCGUUAAGUCUGGUGUGAAAGCCCUGAGCUCAACUCAGGAAUUGCAUCGGAAACUAACAAGCUGGAGUCCGGGAGAGGGUAGUGGAAUUCCUGGUGUAGAGGUGAAAUUCGUAGAUAUCAGGAGGAACACCGGUGGCGAAGGCGGCUACCUGGACCGGUACUGACACUGAGACACGAAAGCGUGGGGAGCAAACAGGAUUAGAAACCCUGGUAGUCC
rnacentral:rRNA from 1 species